GCCAUGGUGGUUCUGUGGUAGAAUUCUCACCUCCCAUGUGGGAGACCCGGGUUGGACUCCUGGCCAGUGCA
rnacentral:tRNA from 1 species